rnacentral:rRNA from 1 species
AUUCCAGCUCCAAUAGCGUAUACUAAAGUUGUUGCAGUUAAAAAGCUCGUAGUUGAAUUUCUGGUCUUGGACAGCGGUCUGCCUCAAACGAGGUACGCACCAUCUAUCCCAGUCCAUCCUCGGGGAAAACAUGUCUGUGAUUCAGUUCAUGGGCAUGGGAUCCUCGUCAUUUACUGUGAGCAAAAUAGAGUGUUCAAAGCAGGCUUAUGCCGUUGAAUAUUUUAGCAUGGAAUAAUAAGAUAAGACCUUGGUCUAUUUUGUUGGUUUGUACUCCAAGGUAAUGAUUAAUAGGGACAGUUGGGGGUAUUCGUAUUCAAUUGUCAGAGGUGAAAUUCUUGGAUUUAUUGAAGACGAACUACUGCGAAAGCAUUUACCAAGGAUGUUUUCAUCA